rnacentral:lncRNA from 1 species
GAAACCCUGGGCUCAAGUCAUCCUCCUGCUGCAGCUCCUCUAGUAGCUAAGACUGCAGUACCAGCUUAUGAUCUCCUGAUUGGAACUAACAUGACGCUUGAUAAAAUGAAGUACAUAACAUAACAACUGCAUUGAUUUAGAAAUACGAGGACUUGUUUUGGAUUCCAAGUCUAACUGCAGAUCUGGGGACAGCACACACUUUACACCUUGGAUUCUGGGAUACAUUUGAUUUCAAAUAUUGAUGGUGAAAAUUCUAACAAGGAGCAAACAGCAAAGAACUGAAAUGCUAUACAGACUCCAGUGAGAAAAAACUGAGGUAAUUGGUUUCGGUGUGCUGGUGCUUGAAACUCUAUCCCAGUGCUUCCUUCAACUAAGGCUGCAAAUUGAAAAUGUGAAGAACCUUGCCUGCUUGAACCAGCCUGGGCUUGUGGCAGCAUCAUUCUGUCACUUAAUUCUUCUCACAGAGAUCACAUAGCUUUGCUUCCAUACCUAAAUUACUACAAAUUUGUGUCCGCUUGAAUGUUAUGUAAUUUAACCAGAAAUUGAAGAAAUACCACCAUUUUAAAGAAAAUAUGGUCAUAAACACUAUGGAAUACUAUGCAACCAUAACAAGAAUGAAAUCAUGUCCUUUGCAGCAACAUGGAUGUAGCUGGAGGCCAUUAUCCUGGGCAAAUUUGCAGGAGCAGAAAACCAGAUACCACAUCUCACAUGUAAGUGGGAGCUAAGCAUUUGGUAUACAUGGAUAUAAAGAUGGGAAAAAUAGACACUUGGUGACUAUUAGAGAGAGGAAAGAGGGAGAAGGGAGAAGCUAAAAACUACCUGUUGGGUAUUAUGCUCACUACUUGGGUGAUGGGAUCGUUUGUACCCCAAGCCUCAGCAUCACACGGUAUACCCAUGUAACAAACCUGCACACGGAUCCCCUGAAUCUAAAAUAAAAGUUGAAAUUAUUGUUUAAAAAAAAGGAUCUAAUAAACAUAGUAUUACAAUGUUGAUGCAUCCCUUAUUUUUAUUUAUUUAUUUAUUUUUGAGAUGCAACCUCCACCUCCUGGGUUCAAGCGAUUCUCCUGCCUCAGCCUCCUGAGUAGCAGGGAUUACAGGUGCAUGCCACCAUGCCCAGCUAAUUUUUUAUAUCUUUAGUAGAGACGGGGUUUCACCAUGUUGGCCAGGCUGGUCUCAAACUCCUGACUUUGUGAUCCACCUGCUUCGGCCUCCCAAAGUGCUGGGAUUUCAGGCGUGAGCCACCGCGCCC